CUGGAGGAGGAGAAAGUGGAGGAAGCAGCUGAGCCUGGAGGGAUGGGGUCACUACCUUUAAAGCAUCUGUCAGCCAUGGGGAUCUGAUGGUUUUUUUAUUUUUUAUUUUUUAUUUUUAUUAUUAUUAUUAUUUUUUUACAAACCCUUGUGUGGAGAUCUGACUUUCAAUAGAUCGCAGCGAGGGAGCUGCUCUGCUACGUACGAAACCCCGACCCAGAAGCAAGUCGUCUACGAAUGGUUUAGCGCCAGGUUCCCCACGAACGUGCGUUGCGUGACGGGCGAGAGGGCGGCCGCCUUUCCGGCCGCGCCCCGUUUCCCAGGACAAAGGGCACUCCGCACCGGACCCUGGUCCCAGCGCGGGGCGGGGCGGCCCGCCGGCGGGGACCGGCUAUCCGAGGCCAACCGAGGCGCCGCGGGGCUGCCGUAUCGUUCCGCCUGGGCGGGAUUCUGACUUAAGAGGCGUUCAGUCAUAAUCCCACAGAUGGUAGCUUCGCCCCAUUGGCUCCUCAGCCAAU
rnacentral:lncRNA from 10 species